GUUGCUUCCUUUUCGAGCAUCGU
rnacentral:snRNA from 1 species